rnacentral:rRNA from 1 species
GGGAUAACAGGCUGAUCGCGCCCAAGAGUUCAUAUCGACGGCGCGGUUUGGCACCUCGAUGUCGGCUCGUCACAUCCUGGGGCUGGAGCAGGUCCCAAGGGUUCGGCUGUUCGCCGAUUAAAGUGGCACGCGAGCUGGGUUCAGAACGUCGCAAGACAGUUCGGUCCCUAUCUGUGGUGGGCGUUAGUAAAUUGAGUGGACGUGACCUUAGUACGAGAGGACCGGGUUGCAUGUACCGCUGGUGUAUCAGUUGUGCCGCCAGGUGCAAUGCUGAGUAGCUAUGUACAGUCAGGAUAAACGCUGAAAGCAUCUAAGCGUGAAACCUUCCACAAGAUGAGUUUACUUUUAAGGGUCGUCAGAGACGAUGACGUUGAUAGGCUACAGAUGUACAGCUGGUAACAGCAAAGUCGAGUAGUACUAAUUACCCGUAAGCUUUAUUUUU